CGUGGCUCAAUUGCGCAGAGCACUGGUCUUUUAAACCGGGGGUUGCAGGUUCGAAUCCUGUCG
rnacentral:tRNA from 1 species